AAAUUGAAGAGUUUGAUCAUGGCUCAGAUUGAACGCUGGCGGCAGGCCUAACACAUGCAAGUCGAACGGUAACAGGAAGCAGCUUGCUGCUUCGCUGACGAGUGGCGGACGGGUGAGUAAUGUCUGGGAAACUGCCUGAUGGAGGGGGAUAACUACUGGAAACGGUGGCUAAUACCGCAUAACGUCGCAAGACCAAAGAGGGGGACCUUCGGGCCUCUUGCCAUCAGAUGUGCCCAGAUGGGAUUAGCUGGUUGGUGAGGUAACGGCUCACCAAGGCGACGAUCCCUAGCUGGUCUGAGAGGAUGACCAGCCACACUGGAACUGAGACACGGUCCAGACUCCUACGGGAGGCAGCAGUGGGGAAUAUUGCACAAUGGGCGCAAGCCUGAUGCAGCCAUGCCGCGUGUAUGAAGAAGGCCUUCGGGUUGUAAAGUACUUUCAGCGGGGAGGAAGGUGUUGUGGUUAAUAACUGCAGCAAUUGACGUUACCCGCAGAA
rnacentral:rRNA from 2 species